GGGGCUAUAGCUCAGCUGGGAGAGCGCAUGCAUGGCAUGCAUGAGGUCGCCGGUUCGAUCCCGGCUAGCUCCACCA
rnacentral:tRNA from 3 species